ACAUGUGCGCAUGCUGUGCCAGCAGACAGUUCCAGCUCUCAACAACUGAUGCACAGACAGCUGCUGUUUCUCCCUUCCCCUGCUCCCCUAACUAUUCUCCUUCUUUCGUUUCUUCCCUACACUGCCUCCAUUCAUCCCCUCUGUACUUUCCCCUUCCUUCUCUCCACUCUGUCAUUCUGCCCUGCACUUUUCCUCAGGCGGAUAUAAAGGCAGGUCCCGUUGGAGGGAGAGGGCUUGUGUAAUCUCUGGCUGCACAUGAGCACCAGGGAGUUAUUGCUUCAGCCGGAAAGGCACCACGGACGCGUGAAAGGACAAACUUUGGAAUAAGCAGAGGAAGGAGGAAUACCUCUGAGACAGGAAGGGAGGAGACGCAGAAAGAGUUUGGAGCUGGGGUGCAGGACACAGACCAUGCCGGGCUCUGUGGUGCUGCUGCUGCUGCUGUCCCUGUUGGUCCUGUCCACAGGAAGUGAUGCCAGAAGAAUCAGGAAAAGAGGACUCAACCAAAAGGACUACGAGUACCCCAACCAUGCCCAGUCCACACAGCACCAGAAGAACGACCGGUGUCCACCGCCACCCCAGAUGCUGCCAGAGAGAGCCUGUGAGGUGCCAGGCUGUCGCUCGGACUCAGAGUGUGAGCGCCACAAACGCUGCUGCUACAAUGGAUGCAUCUACGCCUGCCUGGAGUCUGUCCAGCCACCACCAGUGUUGGACUGGCUGGUGCAGCCUAAGCCUCGGUGGUUGGGGGGCAACGGCUGGCUGUUAGACGGCCCUGAGGAGGUUCUGCAGGCUGAGGCCUGCAGCACAACUGAGGAUGGAGACGAGCCUCUUCACUGUCCUACAGGCUACGAGUGCCACAUCAUCAACCAAGGAAACCCUGCUGCUGGCAUCCCCAACCGGGGACAGUGCAUCAAGCAACGUGGCAACUCCGAUGGACGUGGUCUGAGGCACAAAUACUUCAAGGACUACAAGGACUACUUAGGUAAGUGAGGUACCAGUUCCAGCAAUGCAGUGGGCUACGAAAAACAUCAUCAAAAGCACCUGGGAUGAGAUCAACCUGACCUCAGCCUCAGCUACGACCAUAACAUAACCUCAAACAUCAGCCCAUUCGAUCUGCUCUCAUCACAACUGAACCAGGAUCAGACCAUUUUUACCAGACCUACAGUUGCUACCUCCUCUUUGCAAAGCCCCAUAUUGCAGCCUGUCCUCAGACACGUAGUCUGACGUACCCACAGCACGCAGCCAAAGAAAUAAGUGGGGUUUUUUGUCUCUCCGUCUGGUGUCUGUGAAAGAAUGGAGCAGAGGGUGUGCACCAAAGCUUUUCAUCAAACGUCUCAUAUUUUUUUUCUUUCAUUUCUUUACAACCCUCGCCCGCCCUGAAACAGAUUUUUAUUCUCACAAACACUCCCUCUAACCUUACAGCUGGUCAGCAGUGGAAAUCAAAACCAUGUGGUCGUGUUGCUCAUUCUGUCUCUCUUGUUCUCAGAAGUACGGUGCUCAAAUUUCCUGAUCUGAUAUCUGGAACGUUUUAUAGACAAAUAGGAAAAAAAGUCCAGCUGCAGUGGUUCUCAUCUUUAAAUCCAAUCCAAAUGGGGUUUAAUAUUCAAACUAAUAACUCUAACUAAAAGAAUAAAUGCCAUAUGAGUGUGUGGAUUGUGUCUGUUUUAAGAAUCUGGAACAGCUGUAGAUUAGUUCCUGCCAACAGAUGCUGGCAGUGACUUCAUUGCUAUGAAAAUCAAAAGCAAAAUAAAGGUUCAUUUGAGAGAGAUGAAGAUUUAAAGAGAUGCUCCACCUGUGACAAUAUACAAAAUGUUAUACUGAAAAGACUGACAUGGGGUGGAUGAUCCCUUCAAAUUUUAACGUUGUAUAUAUCUGUGAUAAAUUUCCUUAAAUAAAUGUAGUGAAACAAGUCAUAAAGUUGUUCAAACAUUUCAAUAAUUUUCAAUUAUCAUACUGCAUAAUUUAAAAAAAAUAAUGGUCUUUCUAUUAGACUCCACACCAUCACAUUACAUUCCCCUGUUGCAGGGCAGAUAUGUUAAUAAAAAGGGCUUUAGCACAUAGAAGAUAUUUAAAACUCAAACUGCUUCGGUCAAAUGUAGGUCGUCGCUGUUAUCAAUCCAAAUGGUGCUCAGUUUCAUCGCUGCCUAUAAUAAUAAUAACAGGAGAAUAAGCUGGUCACAUAAUAAGCUGAAGGUGUCAAACAAAACGCUGUAACCAUUCUCUAUGUGCAGAGCUAAAGUGAUGUCUGAAUGUUGCUAUCUGACUGGUGCUGUAAUGUUUAAUCUAAAUAAACCACAUUGUUGAAGUCA